GUGGCUAUGAUAGUCUUCAGAAAAUGGACAUGAUCCUGAUUAAUUGAAUCUUUGCAAGGAGAAAGUUACAGCUGGGUCGCAAUACAUAAGAUUUGGAAAUGGAAACUACACCAACCAGGUCAUAGGAGAUACUGCCAAUACUAACGGUAUUAAAAAUUUCCAGCUCUCCACUCAUUAGUUAUAGGUGAACAAUUUUAUUUGAGUUUUUGUCGAGGUGUUUAAUUUUCAGCUGUGAGGAAAAAUACUUGUUCCUUUUACAUGUUUAUCUAAUUGCUGGACCAUGAGCUUUUAUUUUAUUUUUGUUGAUAUAAUUAUGUAUCAUAACAUUUCAGACUUUUAAAGCAUAAACAAUU